UUCACAAUGUAAGUCAUUCUAGCAUUUCCCACAUUCAUAUUGAUGUUAAUGAAUCUAUACAUAUAGACAUAUAAAUGUGGGAAAUGCUAGAAUGACUUACAUUGUGAAAC
rnacentral:misc_RNA from 1 species